UGUAUGUUUUGUGGUGGUGUGUGGUGGGGUGUGGAGGUGGUGUAGUGGUGUGUGGAGGUGUGUGGUGGGGUGUGGAGGUGGUGUAGUGGUGUGUGGAGGUGUGUGGUGGGGUGUGGAGGUGGUGUAGUGGUGUGUGGAGGUGGUGUAGUGGUGUGUGGAGGCGUGUGGAGGUGGUGUAGUGGUGUGUGGAGGCGUGUGGAGGUGUUGUAGUGGGGUGUGGAGGUGGUGUAGUGGUGUGUGGAGGUGGUGUAGUGGUGUGUAGAGGUGUGUAGUGGUGUGUGGAGGCGGUGUAGUGGUGUGUGGAGGCGUGUGGAGGUGGUGUAGUGGUGUGUGGAGGCGUGUGGAGGUGUUGUAGUGGGGUGUGGAGGUGUGUAGUGGUGUGUGGAGGUGGUGUAGUGGGGUGUGGAGGUGUUGUAGUGGGGUGUGGAGGCGUGUGGAGGUGUGUGGUGGGGUGUGGAGGCGUGUGGAGGUGGUGUAGUGGUGUGUGGAGGUGGUGUAGUGGUGUGUGGAGGUGGUGUAGUGGUGUGUGGAGGUGUGUAGUGGGGUGUGGAGGUGGUGUAGUGGUGUGUGGAGGCGUGUGCAGGUGGUGUAGUGGUGUGUGGAGGCGUGUGGAGGUGGUGUAGUGGUGUGUGGUGGUGGUGUAGUGUGGAGGUGGUGUAGUGUGGAGGUGGUGUAGUGGGGUGUGGUGGUGUGUGGAGGUGGUGUAGUGGGGUGUGGGUG
ensembl:lncRNA